GAAAAUAAAAAUAAUGGAAAUGACAACAAAACAACAACUAAUGGAACAUAUAAAAUGAGUAGUUAUAAUAAUAUAAAUAGAAAAAAUUUAAAAAAGAAUUAUAUGAAAAACUGCACAAGUAACAACCAAUAUAACGUAUCUAAUAAUUUAUAUAUGUAUUGUAAUGAUUACAGUGGCAUAUACAAUUAUAAUAACAAUCACAGUAAUAAGGACAGCAUGAAUACUAUUAGUGGUAGUGUUGAUGUUUUAAGUAGUAGCAGUAAUGUGGCAUGUGCAAGUAGCAGUAAUGUGGCAUGCGCAAGUAACAGUAAUGUGGCAUGCGCAAGUAGCAGUAAUGUGGCAUGCGCAAGUAGUAAUAACAACGUGUGUACCAGUAAUAAUAACACAAGUUACCAUAAUGGCAAACAUGAAAACAAAAAUUCAAAAAACAAAGUGCAACUUUUUAAAGCCUGGCAGAAAAAAAGUUUAAAAAAAAAGUACGUAACAGAUAACAUUACUUGCUUAAAAGUUUAUGAAAAUAAAGAAAAAAAUGAUACUCAUAAAAGUUUUAAAAAGAUACAAGCUAAUAGAAGUAGUUUAGAUAAUAAGUACAAUUUAGAUCAAGGAAAUAUAGAGUGUACUACUACUGAAUAUUUACAAAAUAAUAAAACCGUAAAAAAGGAAGAGAGUAAUAGUAACAAUAAUGGUGAUAUUAGUAAUGCUAAUAAUAGUAAUGCUAAUAAUAAUGAUGUUAAUAAUAGUAAUGCUAAUAAUAAUGAUGUUAAUAAUAGUAAUGCUAAUAAUAAUGAUGUUAAUGAUAAUGAUGUUAAUGAUAAUGAUGUUAAUGAUNNNNNNNNNNUAAUGAUGUUAAUGAUAAUGAUGUUAAUGAUAAUGAUGUUAAUGAUAGUAAUGUUAAUAAUUGUAGUAGCAGCAAUAAUAGUAAUGCCAACAGCAAUAACCAUAGCAACAACAACGGUGACAGUGUCAGUGACAGUGCCAGUGCCAGUAACAAUAUGCAUUAUAAUUAUAAACGUAACGAAGAAGAAACUCAUAAAAACAUCAUGUAUAAUUGUUUUGAUAAACCUGACGAAUAUAAUACAACAUGUGGGACAAAUAAAAAAAAAGAUGACAUAAAGGAAAAGGAUAAACUGCCAGAACAUAUGACAAUGUCAAAAGAAUAUAUAAAAAAAUGUGACACGAAUGAAACAAAAAAAGAUGAGGAUGUAACUAAUUAUUCGGAAAAAAUAGACGAUUUAUCUUCUGACUUGUGCAAAAAUAAAAAAGACGAUAAACAUAACA
rnacentral:lncRNA from 1 species